CCUGAACAAACAAACAAAAUCAAAUUAACUUGCCUGGUUCUCACAGCCACAGAAGAAAUGGUGGUGGCUCUGCUGUAGUUCUCAAUACCAGAACCACCACCUUCUCGUCUUUCUCAAAUUCAGUGAUGAGGCUAGAGGCUAGCCUCUGCCCCUCGGAGGUUGUUCAGGGCCAUAGUAGUACCCUGUGAUGGUGUUUCUGAACAAUACCAGCAAUAUCAGUAAUGAUAAUAAGACGCUCCGCAUUCCACUCCCUUCUGAGUUAUUUACUAACAGUUUUGCAUAUCUUGAUGGUUCUGAAGGAGAUGAUUCACAGGAACCCUGGACCUUCUUGCUGCAGACAGAAAGAACCAUGUGACAGGAUAGGACACUGUCUGGUACAUCUGACCAACAAAGGGUCAAGUCUGACCAGAGAUAUGCUGUCCUGUUCUUCAGCUCCACUUGCAGAGAGGGCCAGUCAGGCCAUCCCAGUCUUUGACAUCUGGCUGUGUCACAGUCUACAGGAUUGAGAUCUGUCCUGCCAGAGCUCAUCGAGAAAACCUUUAAUAGACUCCAGGGACAUAUCCCGAUGCACAAUGGUCUUCUGCACCUCUACCAUCUAAUGGGGAGAGAACCCCAUGGAGACUCAGUGAUGUGCCGCUUUAUUGGCAGACACCCCUAUUCUUGCUGGUCUGGGUGGAGAUGCCAAGCCAGGAACAGGAGACUGACAGAAGAUUUGUUUGAAUGGAAAGGAAGAACAUAGUCCAAUAGAUGACAUCUUUCUACUGAUAGUGUCACCCUGCCUCCAUUUCUCCUUCUGCAAAUGGGAAUAAGAUACUUUGAGGGCUUUUGUCACAGCUUCUCUGAAACCACAGACACUCAAUGGAUGCAAAGGCAGCCAAGUGUGACCAGUCUUGUCUUGGUGACUCAGAAUUAACAUUAUGAACACCAGAUGCUAUGCACUGAGGCCAUGGGCAUGAGGAGAACAA
rnacentral:sRNA from 1 species